ACGCAGAUUGUACGAUGUUCGGCUUCUGGCCGCGCGAGCCUGUGGUGCGGGUCGCUGGGAAUUAAAAUCUAGAAUUGGGUGGGUGGAGCGUUGCUCCGGUCCGUUCGGUGGUUAUCGAUCAAAAAAUGUUUCCUAUUUCGAUACGCGGCUCCGUUGCGCCAUUUUUUUUAUUAGUACAUCGGCUCGUUACGGGCCUCUGUGCGUCCAGCACCGGCUAACAACCGCACCGUUUUUCGUUAACACGCCCGCAGUAAACAUGCUUAUCAAUUAAUUCUGACGGCUGAUAAUCAAUCGACGGGAGCAGAAUACCUACAUGAACUGCCAGAUUGCGUUUACACGCCGAAAACGUUUUAAUUAAUUAAGAAUAUCUUUAACUUGCCCUCUAAUAAAAAAAAAUCCGGGACACGUUUCUGAGACAAACAUUUAAAGAAUACGCUGUUUGUUUUCGUGACAAUUCUUAGAUGUUGCUCGAUGUCUGAUUAUGACUUAUUAUAGAUGUGUGAAAACUGAGCAGGACUAUUUAUAUUGUUAAGAUGUGGGAGAAUUUCUUAAGGCAGUAACCUUCAGGUCUGUGUUAUAUCUGAUAAGAGGAAUAGUUUCUGCCUUGUUUGACGAGUUUCCCCCCGGACAUAUUUAAGGCCUCAGCGCGGUCGCCAGACUGGAGGCCUCAACUGCCACAGCACAGGCCUGGGUGUCGUGCUACAGCUUGACCUAUAGGUGGCGGUGGUGAACCAGACACGGAAAGAAUAACGCCUUCUUGAUAUCCUAGACGGUUUUAACAGGACUUCAACAAAUGUCCACGUUGAGAGGUAAACUGCAUGCUUAGCUAAACCAAAGGAACACAGUACUGUAAGGUUUUUUUGUUGUCUAUUAGCGAGCCAAAUAUUGUAGGAGGAAGUUGAGUUGAUAAAACAGUUUUAGGAGGUUUCUGCGUCCCGCCUCUGCCUCCUGUUUCUACCUACGCUGAAUGUUUUUUUUUUUGUUCGUUCAACGUUGCAAGCGAACUAGUCUUUGAGCUUCUAGCUCCAUUUUGUGAGGCAACACAGAGCUCCUCUCCUGUGGACUCCUCUCCGCCACAUGAGGGCUUCUGGGCCUGAUACUCCAUCGAGAUCGCAAUAAAUCCAUGGUGAAAGGUGGAUUUUUAUGAUGGCUGAAAACUGUCAGAGAUCACAUCCUGUUUCCAUGAUGUCAGCGCAGGAAACAAGAGCCUCCUGCAAGUUAGGGCUGCUGUAGUCCCGAAUGGUCUGGAAAACUGUUUAAAUGGAAUUAUUUCAAAAAUAAGAUUUGGGAGGAAGUUACUUUACAGAAGAUCUGCAGACCUGCGCUACAAGAGAAGCCUCAUAUCUAUAAAUGACCCCGUGAAAACAAUCUUGUGAUUUCUUUUUGGUUUAUUUCCCUUUCAGAUUCCAUUAAAAGCAUUCUUAAAGUUUU